rnacentral:rRNA from 1 species
AGUGAACGCUGGCGGUAGGCCUAACGCAUGCAAGUCGAACGGCAGCACAGUAAGAGCUUGCUCUUACGGGUGGCGAGUGGCGGACGGGUGAGGAAUACAUCGGAAUCUACUUUUUCGUGGGGGAUAACGUAGGGAAACUUACGCUAAUACCGCAUACGACCUACGGGUGAAAGCAGGGGAUCUUCGGACCUUGCGCGAUUGAAUGGGCCGAUGUCGGGUUAGCUAGUUGGCGGGGUAAAGGCCCACCAAGGCGACGAUCCGUAGCUGGUCUGAGAGGAUGAUCAGCCACACUGGAACUGAGACACGGUCCAGACUCCUACGGGAGGCAGCAGUGGGGAAUAUUGGACAAUGGGCGCAAGCCUGAUCCAGCCAUACCGCGUGGGUGAAGAAGGCCUUCGGGUUGUAAAGCCCUUUUGUUGGGAAAGAAAAGCAGCAGGUUAAUACCCCGCUGUUCUGACGGUACCCAAAGAAUAAGCACCGGCUAACUUCGUG